UAAAUCUCCCCCGAUAUCCUUUCCAGGGCAACUUGUGUUUGGCCCAGUCCUGGAUGACAUUUGGGCACGUGCAGAGCAAAAGAAAGAUGUUUUUACGGAGGAGAAAAUCCCCAGAACUAAGAUGUCGAGGAGGAGGAGCUGAGUUGCUCAAGUGACACAACCUGGCACGCCUCCUGACUUGCCCUCACCUCCCAGCCCCUCUUCAGAGCUCUGUAUGUCAAGUCCUGCUGUUCCAUACACAGUCACACGUUAUUAUUCCAACCAAAAUCAAAGGGAAUGGAACACGAGAAAACGGUUAUUGAAAUCAG